UGGGAAGUAGCCAAGCGGUAAGGCAACGGACUUUGACUCCGUCAUCUCGUGGGUUCGAAUCCCGCCUUCCCAGCCA
rnacentral:tRNA from 1 species